GACAGAGGUCCCAAGCGUUAGGCGGAAUCACUGGGCUUAAAGCGCGCGCAGGCGGUCCUUUAAGUCUGAUGUGAAAGCCCACGGCUCAACCGUGGAGGGUCAUUGGAAACUGGGGGACUUGAGUGCAGAAGAGGAAAGCGGAAUUCCACGUGUAGCGGUGAAAUGCGUAGAGAUGUGGAGGAACACCAGUGGCGAAGGCGGCUUUCUGGUCUGUAACUGACGCUGAGGCGCGAAAGCCAGGGGAGCGAACGGG
rnacentral:rRNA from 1 species